AUCUUUAUUUUAUUUGUAUGUGGUGCUGAGGAUCCAACCCAGCGCCCAGCACAUGUGAGGGCGUUACCGCUUGAGCCACAUCCCCAGCCUGGGAACCCUCUACUUUCUUAAACUCAAUAGUUCAUUUUUUACAUCAUGUCAGAUUUUAGAAGUCAGAAGUGCAUGCAUUGGGGAUUUGGUUUGUUAGAGAUUAUUCCUUAUAAUACACUAUUAAGAUGGAAACUUAUUUAUAUACAAUAUGAUAAUAGUGUUAUUUGGAAUUUUCACAAUCAUCUUUUGGUAUUUUUAUUAUUUUUAGUCAUACAUGUCAAUGAGUAUACUUUGAACAUCUUGUUUCAAAGAUUAGAUAAUACAGUGCCAGGUGUAGUGGCUCAUGCCUAUAAUCCCAAAAGCUUGGGAGCUCAAGCAGGAGGACCACAACUUCAAAGCCAGCCUCAGCAACAGUGAGGUUCUAAGCAACUCAUGGACACACUGUCUCUAAAUAAAAUACAAGAAAGGUCUGUGUAUGUGGCUCAGUGGUUGAGUGCCCUUGAAUUCAAUCCCUGGCACCUUCCACCACCCCCCAAAAAGAAAACAAUACACUGUUGUUAGUAUGUUAACCUCAACUAUUAUCUUUAUUGAAUUUCAACAAGCAGUAGGUUACAGCCAUUAUUUAUGUAAUGGGCGAAAAUUUAAAGUGCUUGUUAUCUAUUUGAUCUUACUGUCUUACUCAUAAUUGCAUAUUAGUUCCCUUGGUCCUGUUUGUACACAUAAUCUCAGUAUGUGAAUAUUCUGAAAUAAAGCAAGGCAUAUUAUCAUGAUUAUUUAAUUUUUUUUGUGGUAGGAGAAUGAAAUCUGAGUCUCAUGGGUUAUUUGUAUGUUGAAACUUUUUCAGGCUUUUAUGAUAUCCUUUUGUCAACUUAGUUGAUAACUGAAGGGAAGAGAGGAUUUGGCUACUGAAUUUUGGGAAGAAUUUGGUCACUGAAUUUCAUGGUGUGUCAUCAGUGUGGAUCCUAUUCAGUGAUUGGAUCUGAAAUUGACACUGAAAACCACAUUAGCUGCACUUAAGACAGAAACAUAAACCCUUCAAGGUAAUAUAACCUUAUCAGUAGAAAUAAGAGUAUAUUGUGAGGCCUUGGCUAGGUUCAUGAUGACACAGGACCUUGUCUGAAUAUGAUGAUUUCAAAAUUUGAGCUUAAAUUGACACUCUGAAAUCUAGUCAGUGUGCCUCACUAGACUUUUCAGAGCACAUUAUUCUUGAAAAAGAUCUUGGCUUUUUGUAAAAACUUAGAACAUAUAGAUAUGCAUUUUCUAGUAUAGAACUUUGCCAUUUAUUCAAAUGUCUUUUAUUUUCAUUGAUAUUCUGAGGUAAUUCUUUUUUUUUCUGAACUUUGUAUGUUGUUGAAAGCUAAAAGGAAACAUCUUGGAUCACAGAAGAUAGCAGGCACCUGGUGAGAUGGAAGUAAGGAUGUGUACAAAUGAAACUAUCAACUAUUGAAAACAAAGAGUACUAAAAUCCUAGGGUUCUAAAUGAUGUCCAGGAAUGAAAGAAUAAUAUUUGUCGAGCAUAUAUUGUGGAUCACAUGGUGUUAUAAUCCUGCUGGAGUUAUGUUGAAGGAACAUCAGUUGCCACUUUGGGAAAUUAACAAUUUGUCAAAUUGUUAUCAUCAUAUUGCAGCAUGCCCUAUUGCAACUUUCUGCUUGAGAGUCUGAUUCCGGAUAUUUAUGUCCCUCCAGGUAUAGUUUAAAGAGACAUUUAACCUUUGUAAUUCCUCAAUAAACCUUUCAGGAUCAACUGAGAAUCUUCCCAGGUCUUCCUUUACCUGUCUGAGAUUUUGAAUGGUUAAUGGAAUAUGGUUAAUGAAACAUUGAGCUGUUAGCCCUGCAACCUCUUAUAGAUGACAGAUCCUGGAGAUUGAGGGGUCCUGACUAAAGUGGUCAGGAAUCUCUAAGACCUGAUUGUACUUUUCCCAGUUGUGAGUGACGGGCUCUACUGUGGUAGUUAAAGGCAUCUUAGAGUGGGUCACUUAUGGCUCCUAUUUCUCAUAUUGGGCUAUGGAUGGGAAUGUAGAAUUUCAAGAAAAUCAUAAUCGUUGGGUUCAUUUACAGAGUUCUUCACUGACUGUCUCUCAAGGCCGUGAAAUCCUGAACAUAUGGAACUUUUGAAAUUCCUUGGGUGCAGCAGAAAAAGCAUGGUAUUAGUGUUAAUGUUUCCAAGUUCAGGCCAUGUUUCUUUAUCUCCUCUCUAUUUUAUGGCCAAGUUUCUAGGUAAAUUUAGCUUUUUUUUUUGAAUGCUUGAGGGUCAGAUUUAUCUUAAUUUUUUAAGAUGCUGUACCUGAGCGGUGAGUCUUGAUGUAUGGACAUCUGGGUAGCCAUCUGGAAAAGAAAGACAAAAGAGUAUGUGAGAGGUGUCUCUCCUUUAUUCUAGUCAUAUGAUCUACUGGAUGAGCCAUCCCUCACCCUGGGGAGUUAUGACAUUAGCUGCGUUUACUGGGUAUUUCCCGUUUUUUCUUGGGUCAUCCAGGCCCAGAGAUCAGUUUUCUUUGUCCUUUCCAUUGAGAAAUUUGGGAAUCUAUAAAAUUUAUUGUCUUGUCUGUGAGUGGACUAUAAGGAGGUGGUUCCUAGGAGGCAUAAUGAGCAGGGGUGGAUCCCAAAUUUCUUUCCCCAUAUCUACCCUUGCCUCAUAUCUACUUGUCUGCCUACUGUAACACUUCUAUAGUUAAAAUAAACAGUUCCUGUAAUCACACAUUAAAGUCUUCUAGGAGAUAUAUAUCCAAAGUAGUAGCAUGGGGUCUGUUAUUUCCAUAAUAAAAGUUGGCCAGUUUACCAUAACACUUUUGUAUCAGAGAUGUUAGAAGUUGACUGAGAACUCCUUCAGAAUUGUUUCAUUGAACUUUUGCUUCAUCUCUUUGAACUGCUUUGUUUUUGUUUUGACAUCUAUCUUUCUCCUUUCAUACUAUUGAUUUAUACUUUAUCUGGAAUAUUUUUUGUGGUUUUAAUUUAUAUGCUUUGCCUUCAGAUUCAUUGAUAAUAAGAUAUUGGGGGAGAACAGACAGUUGUUAGUACUGUAUCCGUCUGUGGUGACAUUUGAAUAUUCCUAUUUCAGUUUAUAGGACAAUUUGCUUAUGGAAGUUGAUUAUAAAACACUAGAUUUAGAAUUGAGCAUGGUGAUACACACCUGUAAUCCCAGGUACUCAGGAGGCCAAAGCAGGAGGAUUAUGAAUUCAAGGCUAGCCUCAGCAAUUUGGCAGGACCCUAUCUCAAAAUAAAAAGGAAAAAUGGUCAGGAUAUUGUUCAGUGAUAAAGCACCCAUGUAUUCUCUCUCCAGUACUGGGGUUGUAAUGUUGGGAGAAGAGAAAGUGAACUUAGUUAUAUAAAACAAAAGAUCUCAAUCUUAAGGUACAUUGUUUUGUUUGUGCAUAUUUGUGUCAGUAUGUCUCUCUGCCUGUAUGCCUGCUGAUUUUUUUUGUUUCUUACUAUUGUCCCCUUAAUUCUGCAUCAGUCUAUUACAUUGUUUUCAUAUCCUUUGCCAAUUAAAGGCAAUCAUUUUACCAGAUAAGAGGACUGUCUAUGCAUAGAGAUAUACUUUCUAUAUGUUAAAUUUUUUUUUGAUUUUUUUUUUUUGGUGCUAGGGUUUGAACAUGGGAUGUAUUAAAUGCUACUAUGCAUUAUAGCCCUGGCCUACAACCCCAGUCCCAUUCUUUUUAUUUCUUUUUAAAGUUAGAUUUUAAGAGAGACUUUGGUAAAGACCUUGGCUGGAUUUAUGAUGAGCUAUGUUUACUGAGCAUGAUGAAGUGAAGCUCAAUAUGAUUACUCUGAGGUCCAGCCUAAGUGUCAUUUUUAA